rnacentral:rRNA from 1 species
UACAGAGGUCUCAAGCGUUGUUCGGAUUCAUUGGGCGUAAAGAGCUCGUAGGCGGCUUGUCGCGUCGACUGUGAAAACCCGUGGCUCAACCAUGUGGUCUGCAGUCGAUACGGGCAGGCUAGAAUUCGGUAGGGGAGACUGGAAUUCCUGGUGUAGCGGUGAAAUGCGCAGAUAUCAGGAGGAACACCGGUGGCGAAGGCGGAUCUCUGGGCCUUGCCUGACGCUGAGGCGCGAAAGCUAGGGGGAGCGAACAGG